AGAGUUUGAUCCUGGCUCAGGAUGAACGCUGGCGGCGUGCCUAAUACAUGCAAGUCGAACGCUUCACUUCGGUGAAGAGUGGCGAACGGGUGAGUAAUACAUAAGUAACCUGGCAUCUACAGGGGGAUAACUGAUGGAAACGUCAGCUAAGACCGCAUAGGUGUAGAGAUCGCAUGAACUCUAUAUGAAAAGUGCUACGGGACUGGUAGAUGAUGGACUUAUGGCGCAUUAGCUGGUUGGUAGGGUAACGGCCUACCAAGGCGACGAUGCGUAGCCGACCUGAGAGGGUGACCGGCCACACUGGGACUGAGACACGGCCCAGACUCCUACGGGAGGCAGCAGUAGGGAAUUUUCGGCAAUGGGGGAAACCCUGACCGAGCAACGCCGCGUGAAGGAAGAAGUAAUUCGUUAUGUAAACUUCUGUCAUAGAGGAAGAACGGUGGAUAUAGGGAAUGAUAUCCAAGUGACGGUACUCUAUAAGAAAGCCACGGCUAACUACGUGCCAGCAGCCGCGGUAAUACGUAGGUGGCGAGCGUUAUCCGGAAUUAUUGGGCGUAAAGAGGGAGCAGGCGGCACUAAGGGUCUGUGGUGAAAGAUCGAAGCUUAACUUCGGUAAGCCAUGGAAACCGUAGAGCUAGAGUGUGUGAGAGGAUCGUGGAAUUCCAUGUGUAGCGGUGAAAUGCGUAGAUAUAUGGAGGAACACCAGUGGCGAAGGCGACGAUCUGGCGCAUAACUGACGCUCAGUCCCGAAAGCGUGGGGAGCAAAUAGGAUUAGAUACCCUAGUAGUCCACGCCGUAAACGAUGAGUACUAAGUGUUGGGAGUCAAAUCUCAGUGCUGCAGUUAACGCAAUAAGUACUCCGCCUUAGGAUUACGUUCGCAAGAAUGAAACGCGAGUGAAUUGAGGGGGGGCGGCACAAGCGGUGGGGCAGGUG
rnacentral:rRNA from 1 species